rnacentral:rRNA from 1 species
UGAGGGAAUAUUGGGUCAAUGGGCGAGAGCCUGAACCAGCCAAGUCGCGUGAAGGAUGAAGGUUCUAUGGAUUGUAAACUUCUUUUAUUCGAGGGUAAAGUGAGGUACGUGUACCUUAUUGCAAGUAUCGAAUGAAUAAGCAUCGGCUAACUCCGUGCCAGCAGCCGCGGUAAUACGGAGGAUGCGAGCGUUAUCCGGAUUUAUUGGGUUUAAAGGGUGCGUAGGCGGAUUAUUAAGUCAGCGGUGAAAGCGUGUGGCUCAACCAUACAGUUGCCGUUGAUACUGGUAGUCUUGAGUGUAAACGAGGUAGGCGGAAUGUGAUGUGUAGCGG